rnacentral:rRNA from 1 species
CGGCGGAGGUAGUAACACGUGGAUAACCUACCUAUAAGACUGGGAUAACUUCGGGAAACCGGAGCUAAUACCGGAUAAUAUAUUGAACCGCAUGGUUCAAUAGUGAAAGACGGUUUUGCUGUCACUUAUAGAUGGAUCCGCGCCGCAUUAGCUAGUUGGUAAGGUAACGGCUUACCAAGGCAACGAUGCGUAGCCGACCUGAGAGGGUGAUCGGCCACACUGGAACUGAGACACGGUCCAGACUCCUACGGGAGGCAGCAGGC